rnacentral:RNase_P_RNA from 13 species
GUUGCAAACUAGCAUCUGGGGCCCACACAACGAGUAUCUGAUUACUCCACAAACCAUUGCCCCGGGAAGGUCUGAGAAUCGGCCGAGCCAGCUGUUUGUUGCGGCUUCAUUUCCCAGCAGGAAACCUGUGUGAUUGCAGGGCGAAAGUACCAGAAAUCCUGCUACCAGGCGUUGCCGUUGCCCACCAGUGACCGCCGCCUGGUUGGCAUUGAAACCUUUCGUGGCCAGCGUUUUUAGUGCGAUGUGCUUGCUACUAAGAAAAGGUUGGUUAUAGAUAUUAGAAAACUAAAUUUAAAAACAAU